CGAAAGCCUGACGGAGCAACGCCGCGUGAGGGAUGAAGGCCUCUGGGCUGUAAACCUCUUUUAUCAAGGAAGAAGAUCUGACGGUACUUGAUGAAUAAGCCACGGCUAAUUCCGUGCCAGCAGCCGCGGUAAUACGGGAGUGGCAAGCGUUAUCCGGAAUUAUUGGGCGUAAAGCGUCCGCAGGCGGCCCAGAAAGUCUGCUGUUAAAACGUGGAGCUUAACUCCAUCAUGGCAGUGGAAACUACUGGGCUUGAGUGUGGUAGGGGCAGAGGGAAUUCCCGGUGUAGCGGUGAAAUGCGUAGAUAUCGGGAAGAACACCAGUGGCGAAGGCGCUCUGCUGGGCCAUAACUGACGCUCAUGGACGAAAGCCAGGGGAGCG
rnacentral:rRNA from 1 species